UUAGGCAAAAGAGCAGCGCUUGGCCCCCACCGCGGGGGCCAGCGCACCCCUCGCGCGAGGGCGGCUCUUGCCCACACGCUGUGGCAAGUAGCACCGGCAGCUACUGCCUUGCAGACUUCAGGAGGGGCGGCGGCUGGGGGGUCCAGGUACCCCAAGGCCCCCCCUCUCAGAUCGCUAGAGAAGGCUUUCUCACCGAGGGCGCGUCGUGCCCCCCACACCAUCGUUCGCCCCUUCGGGGACCCACGGGAGUGGGAACACUCCCAAAAAGUGGGAAGUCAGAAGGGGGGGGGUCUGCGGUAUGGGUAAAGCACACAGCCCAUGUGAGCGUCCACGGUCAGAGCCGGGAGAGCAAGAGUCUGUGCUGCCACCAGGCUUGCCUUUCAGACUUUUCCACGUGGGUGGAGGGGUGCCACGUCCGGAAAGCCAGACGGGGACCCCCCCUUCACAUCUCCCGGCCCACCGCGGUCGCUCUCACGACCACAUGCAGCCUUCCCGGUCAAGGGAGAAGCAUGGGGCGUGCCGCUCAAGGGCCAAGGGCUGCCCUCACUGGCACACAGUGAGGGAGACCCAUGACAAGGGGUCCACCUGAGCCCCUCCCGGGGAGGGGACACAAGCUUCCCCUGCCUUACCGUCUCGACCCCCUCCCCUGAGCUUUAGGAAGCUGCUCGUGGGGCACGCCACCACCACAGUGGGGACCCGAGGGGACUCACCGCUGGGAGAGGAAAACGACACCACCGCUCGGCCUCGGGCAUCUGACAGGCAACCCGGAGUACUCCAGGGGCACCACAGAGGACCAGGGGAGGCACGCUCACGCACCCGCAGGGAUGCGAAGCAUGGCAGCGAGGGAGGCCUCCCCCCACUUUGGGGAGGGACCGCUCGCAAGGCACACGCCAAGGAGGCAAAGCGAGAAUGCCUGCUGCGUCCCAAAGGACCCAGGCCCCCCCCCCCGCCUGACACCCGAAGGCAGCAGGGCGGGAGACCAGAGGUCAGGCUGGAGGCCGCACCCCUGCCUUCCCCCACACCACCCGCAGGUGGGGGAGGAGCAGCGAGGGGCCCGCGACAGAAUGAGAGGCGCGGCCCAGCUCACCAUGAGCGGCCGUCCCUCAUCUGGCGCGGCUUAAGCCCAAGCCCAGGAGAGCGCCACAUCACCACAUCGAUCAGUCCUGGCAGAGCCAGGGAAGAGCCCAGAAGAGGGGAGGGAGGAAUGCCUGACACGUGGCACGGAGCCAACAGGGUGGGGUUGUUCCAGCCGAGCCGCCGGGUGCCCGCAGCAGGGAGGCACACAGGGUAGAAGACCCCACAGGGCCACGCGCCCUGCCGCCCUCGGGUCAGCCAGAGACCGGAGGAGACACCGCAGCACGGGCCAGCUGGAUGCACAAGUGAGAGCCGGCGCACAGGCCCAGGCGAGCGGCCCCCACGCGGGGUGCAAAGGGCAGGGUCAGGCCUUGGACAGCAGCCGAAAGCCCAAAGCCCCCCACGUGCAUCCAGA
rnacentral:lncRNA from 1 species